AGCUGGCUGAUGCCACGAGGUGACUUCUGCCCAGUGCUCUGAUUGUCAACCUGAAGAGAUUCAGCCAAGCGCGGGUCAACGGCGGGAGUAACUAUGACUCUCUUGAGGUAGCCAAAUGCCUCGUCAACCAAUUAUUGACGCGCAUGAAUGGAUCAACGAGAUUCCUGCUGUCCCUGGUUGCUGUCUGGUGAACCAACAGCCAAGGGAACGGGCUUGGAAGUUUCAGCGGGGAAAGAAGACCCUGUUGAGUUUGACUCUAGUUUGCUGCUGCGCAGUGACAUGAUGGGUGUAGCAUAGGUGGGAGGUGAGUGCCAACCCACCGUGUUCCCCAAUCCCAUCCAACGCAGAGGAGAGGAAGCCAAUGCAGAAGAGCAGAGCAGAGCAGAGAAGAGAAGAGAGAGCUGUGUGCUCCAACAACCCAACAAAGGAUUGGCCCAACGAUGAGAGGAUCCAACUCUGUGGAUGGAUGGCGAUUGUGUGUUGAAGAGAUCUGGCGCGAUCCAGCAGUGAAAUACCACUACCUUCAUUGUCGCUUUGCUCAUGGAGUUGCCUGGGAAUGGUGGCCCAUUGACUUGGCUGCUUCUGCACAGGAGCAAGCCAUGGCCAGUCUUCCGCAUUCGUGCGCAAAGCACUUGCCCUCGCUUUGAUUGGGAUUGCUCUUGGGUGUGGCUUGCUGCAUCCUCGGGCUCUCUCCGGUGAGACCAGCAAGUGUGACCCUGGGUCUAACAAUCCCCAAUGGGAGCUUCCAGACACAGAGCAGAUUGGGAGUUUGGCUGGGGCGGCACGCGUUUCACAAGGCAACGAACGCGUCCUGAAGCAAGGCUCAGAUGGGACAGAAACCUCUCAGAGAGCAGAAGGGCAAAGGCCUUGCUGACGCUGCGACUCUCAGUAGAAGUCCAAAACACGCAAGUGUGGCCUAUCGAUCCUUUGGAUCAGUGCACGAGUUUGGGAUAUCAAAGCCAGAGGUGUCAGAAAAAUUACCACAGGGAUAACUGGCUUGUGGCUGCCAAGCGUUCAAAGCGACGUGGCUUUUUGAUCCUUCGAUGUCGGCUCUUCCUAGCUUCCCGCCUGCAGCUGAGCGGAAGAGUUGGAUUGUUCACCCACU
rnacentral:rRNA from 1 species